AGUGAACGCUGGCGGCGUGCCUAAUACAUGCAAGUCGAACGAAGUGGCGCACGGGUGAGUACUAUAUAGUUAAUCUGCCCUACCCAGAGGAACAACAGAUUGAAACGACUGCUAAUACCUAAUAGGGUAGGAUGAGACUAUAUCGUAUCAGCUAGUUUGUAAGGUAAUGGCUUACCAAGGCUAUGACGCGUAACUGGACUGAGAGGAGGAUCAGUCACAUUGGAACUGAGACACGGUCCAAACGCCUACGGGAGGCAGCAGUAAGGAAUAUUGCGCAAUGGGGGAAACCCGGACGCAGCAACGCCGCGUGGAGUAUGACACUUUUCGGAGCGUAAACUCCUUUUAUCAGGAAAGCGGUACCUGAUGAAUAAGCACCGGCUAACUCCGUGCCAGCAGCCGCGGUAAUAC
rnacentral:rRNA from 1 species